rnacentral:misc_RNA from 1 species
UGUGGGAGGGGGCUUGCUCCCGAUAGCGGUGUAUCAGUUGCAUGUAAAUGCCUGACACACUGCUAUCGGGGGCAAGCCCCCUCCCACA